ACACACAUGCCGCCGUUGAAGCAAGGGUUUCUGGGAUAUGUGUUGCAGGGCUGAUGGGAUAGCUCUCUCCCUGAGCAGGAGCACACAGCGGUAGAUUCCACCGUCACAGAUACAAGACUCAUGGUCCCACAAUCCACCACUGUGGGCGUGUCCCGCACGUUCAGGACGUUGCUGCAGCCGCCGGCCCCGGCACACUCUGAGCUUGGACACUCAUCCACCCGGAUUUGGAACACGUUGACCUGCAGGAAUGACUGGAGCUGGAGGGAGAAAGACAGAGAGAAAUUAAGAGAUCCAGCGUGGAUUCUUGCCAUGAAUUGCAAGGAAGUGAAAUGGCAAAGAAUGGAGGAACUGGCACAAGCUACAUGUGCUGUGUUGACUGGAGACCACUGGGCAACAAUAAGAACCAUCACUAUCUUGUUGUAGCUGCAAAACCGAUCCAUGACAAAUAUUUGGUACUCGUUUGCUUUAGGUGUGAUGAAAAUGGAAAAAGCAAUUUUGCUGAAGCAUGCGCCAGUUUCUUGAAGUUGUACAGGAGUGGGAGGCAGUCAACAUGGUCAUCACUGUAGGAACAGACAGCAGCUCCCUGUGACACUGGCUUUGUCGAUGCUUUAGCUAAGUGGUGGAAAAUGUACCAACUUCAUGCCAAUAUUUCAGAAAUCAUGAUAUAAUGAAAUACAAAUCCCUCUGAUUCCUCUUA